rnacentral:rRNA from 1 species
UACGGAGGGUGCAAGCGUUAUCCGGAUUUAUUGGGUUUAAAGGGUCCGUAGGCGGGCUAAUAAGUCAGAGGUGAAAUCCUACAGCUUAACUGUAGAACUGCCUUUGAUACUGUUAGUCUUGAAUUUUUGUGAAGUUGCUGGAAUAAGUAGUGUAGCGGUGAAAUGCAUAGAUAUUACUUAGAACACCAAUUGCGAAGGCAGGUGACUAACAAAAGAUUGACGCUGAUGGACGAAAGCGUGGGUAGCGAACGGG